rnacentral:hammerhead_ribozyme from 1 species
AUCCGGUUGACGAGUCUCAAACAGGGCGAAGCACGUGUUGUGGAU